rnacentral:rRNA from 1 species
AGUGAACGCUGGCGGUAGGCCUAACACAUGCAAGUCGAACGAGUGGCGGACGGGUGAGUAAUACAUCGGAAUCUACUCCGUCGAGGGGGAUAACGUAGGGAAACUUACGCUAAUACCGCCUACGAGUGCAUGCGCCGAGGUCGGAUUAGCUAGUUGGCGGGGUAAAGGCCCACCAAGUCGACGUUCCGUAACUGGUCUGAGAGGAUGAUCAGUGACACUGGAACUGAGACACGGUCCAGACUCCUACGGGAGGCAGCAGUGGGGAAUAUUGGACAAUGGGCGAAAGCCUGAUCCAGCCAUGCCGCGUGUAUGAAGAAGGCCUUCGGGUUGUAAAGUACUUUCAGCGGGGAGGCGUUACCCGCAGAAGAAGCACCGGCUAACUCCGUGCCAGCAGCCGCGGUAAUUC